rnacentral:rRNA from 1 species
GACGAACGCUGGCGGCGUGCUUUAUACAUGCAAGUCGAACGAUGAAGUUCCUUCGGGAAUGGAUUAGCGGCGAACGGGUGAGGAACACGUGAGACACCUGCCUUUCAUUCUGGGAUAACACCGGGAAACCGGUGCUAAUACCGGAUACUCCGUCUUGGCGGCAUCGCCGAGCCGGGAAAAAAUUUUGAUGAAAGAUGGUCUCGCGGCCUAUCAGCUAGUUGGUGAGGUAAAGGCUCACCAAGGCGACGACGGGUAGCCGGCCUGAGAGGGCGACCGGCCACACUGGGACUGAGACACGGCCCAGACUCCUACGGGAGGCAGCAGUAGGGAAUAUUGGGCAAUGGGCGCAAGCCUGACCCAGCGACGCCGCGUGAGGGAUGAAGGUCUUCGGAUUGUAAACCUCUUUCAGUAGGGAAGAAGCGAAAGUGACGGUACCUAAAGGAGAAGCACCGGCUAACUAUGUGCCAGCCGCCGCAGUAA